GGUUUUUCUUAAUUUGCCAGUCGAGACCUUGUUCAAUGAUAAGAACGUCAGAUCACUUCAUACCGCUUUCACCAGUUCGUUCGUACGUAAUAAAGUAAAAACACCCGAAGAAAUGCUUAAAUUGUGGCAAGUGUUUAUUCUAAUUUGGGCCUUUGCUCAACUACAAUCUCACGCGUGGGCAAAACAACCCAAAUUAAAGGAUAGCGAUUGGGAUUUCCUAGCUCAUCAGGCAGCGUCCACCACAAGACGUCCAUAUCGUUUCAAUAAUACUGCCAUCAAAGCUCAAACUCCUAAUGUGACGGAGAAUUUUACAGCAGCUGCCUUUCAGGAUAAUGAACAUAUGAGAGCUGCUAGAAAUUGUAAAUGCGUCAUUAAUGGUCGUUGUUCGAGAAGACCGUGCUAAAUGUGAAAAAGUGAAUAUUGUGAUUUCUUAAUUUGUCUUAUAUAUGUCAAGAUUGUGAUGCUAUACAAAAUUGGGAGUUUGCUGUUGGAAUACCAGAAGUUUUAAAAAGCAAUGAAAUUGAAUCCGAAUGAUGGAAACGAUUUAAAAUUUAACCAAUAGAUAAAAGUUACAAAAAAAUUUUGGAUUCAAAUUAAAUUAAAACUAAAUUUAAAAAUUACUUCUUGUUGUCCAAGUGCUUUGUGGAAUGUAUAGAGUUCCUGAGAUGACUACUGGCUAAUGCCUUUGACGGAGUGAAUAAUUUGUCGGAGUACUGAACAUAGAAAAACGGAUGGUCAGUGUGCACUCGGUGCCGAGGUGGGAACCGGUAUAUGGUUGCCGACCUAUAGAGCCAUUGCUUUUAUAAAUGGGAAUUCUAAACGAAAGAUUAUCUUAUUGGACGGACUACUAUAAAAUACUCACAGAUUAUCAAGCGGGAUUCAGGAAAGCAUAUAGUACAGAGGAUAAUAUAUACAAUUUACCUUCGACUGUUUUCGUCAUAUGCAGAAAAUUUUUAAUAUACAAAUUACAUCAGAUAGGUUUAUCCUAUAAGCUUGUAAAGCUUACACAAAAUAUG
rnacentral:sRNA from 1 species